GAAAGGAAGAGGAUUCUGAAAGCCCCUGACUUUUUAAGGAACAUGGCAAAUAACAAGUGUGACUGUGAAGUGAACCUAUGACUGGAAACUGAAGCCAGAAUCUCUGCAUUCCUUGCAAGUACCCAUGGUUCCUUUGAUUAUACUCCGGGCUUGUAAACAGGAAAGUGUUUCACAGAUGUAGAAAAUCCAAGAGCUAAUAUGCUCCUUUUCUGCCAUAUGGAAAAGAUAAAUACCAGAACCUAAAAUAUCAGAGUAGAAGAGAAAUAAGAAUGAAACUCUUUGAACAUUGAC